rnacentral:rRNA from 1 species
AGUGAACGCUGGCGGUAGGCCUAACACAUGCAAGUCGAACGGCAGCACAGUAAGAGCUUGCUCUUACGGGUGGCGAGUGGCGGACGGGUGAGGCAUACAUCGGAAUCUACUUUUUCGUGGGGGAUAACGUAGGGAAACUUACGCUAAUACCGCAUACGACCUACGGGUGAAAGCAGGGGAUCUUCGGACCUUGCGCGAUUGAAUGAGCCGAUGUCGGAUUAGCUAGUUGGCGGUGUAAAGGCCCACCAAGGCGACGAUCCGUAGCUGGUCUGAGAGGAUGAUCAGCCACACUGGAACUGAGACACGGUCCAGACUCCUACGGGAGGCAGCAGUGGGGAAUAUUGGACAAUGGGCGCAAGCCUGAUCCAGCCAUACCGCGUGGGUGAAGAAGGCCUUCGGGUUGUAAAGCCCUUUUGUUGGGAAAGAAAAGCAGCAGGUUAAUACCCCGCUGUUCUGACGGUACCCAAAGAAUAAGCACCGGCUAACUUCGUG